GACGAACGCUGGCGGCGUGCUUAACACAUGCAAGUCGAGCGGUAAGGCCCUUUCGGGGGUACACGAGCGGCGAACGGGUGAGUAACACGUGGGUGACCUGCCCUCAGCUCUGGGAUAAGCCUAGGAAACUGGGUCUAAUACUGGAUAUGACUCCAUGACGCAUGUUGUGGGGUGGAAAGCCUUGUGCGGCUGAGGAUGGGCCCGCGGCCUAUCAGCUUGUUGGUGGGGNGAUGGCCUACCAAGGCGACGACGGGUAGCCGGCCUGAGAGGGCGACCGGCCACACUGGGACUGAGACACGGCCCAGACUCCUACGGGAGGCAGCAGUGGGGAAUCUUGCGCAAUGGGCGAAAGCCUGACGCAGCGACGCCGCGUGAGGGAUGACGGCCUGGU
rnacentral:rRNA from 1 species